rnacentral:lncRNA from 1 species
CCCAUACAGAUAAGUGUUUGCGGACCCGACCUCUAUUUCUUAUAAAUACCAUGUAAAGUUUUGUGUCACCUAACUUCGAAGCUGCGAGUUGAGGACCAAUCGAGGUUACCGUUCACAUUUCUUCGCAGACAGUUGACUCUACAUUCUAGUUUGCAACUAUUUUGGAUAUCAUUCCAUCGUCGUUUGACCUUAGUAAUUAAUCAUGACUUCCAAGAUGCUGCUGCUAAUCUUUACUGUUGUCCUGGUAACUGCCAUCGCAACUGCAGAAAAUCUCAAAGAAGAUGACAUUAAUGAGAAUGUUUAUGUGGAUCUCGGAGGAAGAGGGAGGACAGGGAAAUCAGUUUCCGAACAAAGAAAGGAUCAGCAUGAAAUUUCGGAAGAUGGCGACGUACUCCAAAAUGGAAUUUCGGAAGAUGGCGAGGCUCCGUUACUC